rnacentral:lncRNA from 1 species
GGAGCGAGGCGGAGGAGGAUGGCGGGUGGAGGAAAGGGAUUUGAAUUGGAUGCGGCGAUUCUCAAGGUACUGGUAGAAGGCGGCGAAGACGAAGCAGGCGAGCAAGGUGAGGAUGUAACUGAGCCAUGAAUCUGUUUUCCAGAAAUCAAAGAGAAUUGUAGCUUUUAUACCCCAAUAAAAGGUCAUGUGCAUCAUCUUUGCGAGGUUUUCUGGGUUGAGCUUUGAUCGUGUGUGUGAGAGAAGAAGAGGAAGAAGACGACGAUGAGAAAUGAUUACAGAGAGAAAGUUGUUGGAAGCGGUUUGUUUACAAGAUAAGUUCUCAAU